UUUUUUUUUUUUUUGCGGUACGCGGGCCUCUCACUGCUGUGGCCUCUCCCGCUCCGGAGCACAGGCUCCGGACGCGCAGGCGCAGCGGCCAUGGCUCACGGGCCCAGCCGCUCUGCGGCACGUGGGAUCCUUCCGGACCGGGGCACGAAUCCGUGUCCCCUGCACCGGCAGGCGGACUCUCAACCGCUGCGCCACCAGGGAAGCCCUGACUGUCAUCUUGAUGAAUGAUUAACCACAGGUUCCUGCCCUGAAGGAGAAUGGGCCUUGGCCCCUUGGGAGAAGCAGGAGACCAGGUGGAGAGAGAACAGACGGAGAAGCGGAGGAGAAGCCGGAAGGGCCUCCCUGGCAAGUCGGCCAGGGAACAUACUAGAGAGCUAGUGGGGGUCACGGGGAGAGGUAGAAAAGCUGAGAGGUUCCUCAAGGCAGCUGGCCUUCGAGAAGGCAGGCAGCUGUGGGUUGUGAAACGACGCGGCAGGGUCACUUUUGAGAAUUGCUACGGAGAGACGGAGGCUCAGAGAAGCCGGGGAACUUUGCCCCAGAUCAUUCGGCUGGUUAAGCAGAAGAAUCGGGACUCAGGCUCUGGCUGUGACGCCCGCGGACUCUUGGCAACAAGACGAUGGACCCUCCGAUCUGGUGGUUUGCGCGUGACGUCACCUGUCCCCUCUCCCCAGGCCCCAGGAUUCCUGCCCCAGCUGCCCGUCCCCGCUCAGACUCUGCAGACUGGAAAUCAUUCACUGGCUCUUUGACGUGGCAUCUGAGCCAUGUUUAUUGUGUAGCUCUGUGUCUGUUACACGUUUGUCCACAUCAGUGUAUAUCUCAGACCAUGAGACCCUCGAGGAAAGGAGCCGCAGCAGCGUAAUCCUCCCCGUGGAAGGCCUCUGAGAGAAGAAACCAGCCCAGGGCAGGGCCUCUACCUCAUUUUUGUUCCUCUUUCCCUGGGCUUUGCCCUGGGGUCAAAAAUUACGCAUAAGAUUAGUGAGUGGAGUUAUCAGAGCAGGGGUGAGGUGUCAAAGGGAUGGGGAGAGAGGACAAUAAAAAUAAUGACCAGCUGAUCCCCGCAGGGACACAGCCAGCUGCGGAGUGGGGUUUGGGAGUGGGUAGGUGGUGGCAGACGGCUGGGAAGGGGCAGGGGGAUUUGUACAGCUCAGGAUAGGUAUUUAGAUGAAUUUCUGGGUGAGAAGGGGAGUGGGAAAGGACCAGGGACAGACCCUUUGGAGGGUCGGUGUUACCAGUGCUAAGAAGGAAGACUGUCUCUGGACCAUGUACAAAGUUCUCUGCACCAACUGGGGUUGCAGUAACUGUGACUGUGUGUGUGUGCUCGUGUGUGUGCGUGCAUGCAUGUGUGUGAAUGCGUGCAUGCGUGCGUGUGCGUGCGUGUGUGUGUGUGUGUGUGUGUGUGUGUGUGUGUGUGUGUGAUUUCGCAGCUGAACAGCAGAGGCUGAGAAAGUUCCAGGACCACCCUGGCCGCUGCGGCCCCUGGCCCCUCCACCUCAGCUGGUUUGGCCCAUCAUUGCUUGAGGGUCACGUAUUCCACUCCUUCCUGGGCCAGCGGCCGCUCCCCAAACCCAAAAUGGACCAUCUCCGAGUAAUGUAUCCCCUCGUCUUCUAGGACCUCUGGAGUCACGUUCUCAUAGUCGCCCUGAGAAAGCCACAUGGUGGUGAGCGUGGCCUCACGCUCACCAGCCUCCCGCAGCCCGCUUUCCCUGUCCCUUCUCUCCUCCGCUCCGCCUGGGGGUCCAAGAGCGCGAGCAGGAGUCCUCUUGUCUAGAAACUGGCUGCAGCCGGCCUCAGACUGGGAGGUGCCUGCCCUGGUCUGACCUCACCAGGGUCUGGGCAGCCCUCCCCACUGUCCAGCCUCUGCCACCCAGGCUCUGGGACUCACAGCCGAGGCCAGGUCCCGUCACUUCCCCACCUUCCAUAGCCCUGCCCUCUUACCACGUGACGCUUCUGCACCACAGAGUAAGUGACCGUGUCGUCCCUGUUUGAGGAAAGUCCCCGCGUCUCUGAGGUCCCUGCAUCUCUGAGAGGGAAGGCAGAGAGAUGACCACAAAUGAAGGCUUUUGCAUGAAAUCUGCUCCUUCUUCCAACUCCCCUAGACCCUAAGAGCACCCCCAGCCUCUCAGCCCCUUGCGUCAUGCCUAGUGCACACAGCAGGGGCUGAUGUGUCAGAUGAGCGAACGUAUGUGUGUAUGUAUCGCAAAGUCCCAACCUCGGUGAUAGAGACCGACUCUGGCCGUGCCUGCUCCUGGUUUGUAGGAACAGAUCCAAUUCCCGAGACCGUUACCAGGGGGGUUGUUACAGAGCAGGAAUGAGGAGAAGAAGCACGGGCCUGGCACACACAGGGCAGGCGAGACACGAGCUCUGCCCCCCACAUCCCUCCCAGGGUGCAGGUGUCACCCCCCUGGUGCCCUCAGUACCCAGGUCUCGGUACAUCCGUCUCGCCAAGAGGAAAGCGCAAGGCAGCGUAGCUGACGGCGUCUUCCGUCACUGGAUGGUAGCACCCCAGGGAGUGGGGGCCUUCAGCUUGGGGGAUCCUUCGAGCCUGAGAGGAGGACGAGGUUUCGGCCCUUACCACUCCUCUCCCCACCCUAGCUCCCCUGCCUCUCUACUCUUUAUCACCCCUCUCCACUUUGUUUCUCUUCUUUUUUUUUAUUUGACACAUAGUUGAUUUUCCACUUUGUUUCUUUCUUGACUCGAAGCUCUGCCCUGCAUUUCAUCUUUCUCCCAUCCUACCUUUACAUUCCUCACAAAGAAGUUCUGUCCACUGGAACUUUCCUGAAGCCCCUGCUGUCUCUGAAUCCUCUUCCAGCUGAGAAAUAAAGACCUGCUCAGGGAGGACGAAGGGCCUGGGAAGAGGACCCUGUGGACUCGGCAUGCCGGGGGCUGCAGGACUGAGUAACCGGGGUCGUUCCCUGGGUUGGGCAGAGGGGGAGCAAAGGUGGUGGGCAGUGGGAGGAACUCACCUCCGCUGCAGCUUGACUCCCCAGAUUGCCAGGAGGAAGAUGGCCAGACAGAACCCCACUCCCAAGGCCACUCGCCUGAUGAUGGAGGCUGAGCUAUCUGAUAGAGAAAGGAGGUGUGCCCAGAGCAGGAGACUGCACCAGCCUUGAGGAGGGCAGUGGGGACAUAGUUAUUCGACAUCCGUACACGGGACCGCAGUGCACCCUCAGCAAAAGAGUCAGGUCUCCAGGGUGCCUGCAGAGGGGAGACCCAGGGGACUCCCUGGGGAGAUAUACAAUGUGUAUAUUGUCUAUACAAUAUACAAUAUACAUAUACAAUGUGUAUAUUGUAUAUACAAUAUACAUAUACAAUGUGUAUAUUGUAUAUACAAUAUACAUAUACAAUGUGUAUAUUGUAUAUACAAUAUACACGUUGUAUAUGUUUUUAUACAAUGUGUAACUUUUCCAAAUGACACCCUCAGGCUGGCUCCCUUUAGCACCAGCUUUGCCAGUGCCAAUCCUCUAAAUUUAAAGCCAUGGCUCCAAUCAUUAACCUGAAAAAAGCACAAUAAAUAAAUUAAAUAUUUUCCCCUGUGUUUUUCCAGACUCUUCAGACACCCUGUAUAUGCACAGAUAGAGAACUAUCUCCAAGUGCUGUUAUUACAUGGAAGAAAGGGAAGUUCAGGGCAACGUGUGAGCUCUCCCACCGUCUGAGUAACAAAGAAGGGUGUAUGGACAUAAAUCUCUAUAGGCCUGUGGUGCACGUAUAGAAGAAUCUCUGUGAGGGGCCAUAUCCAGCUGCCAACGGUGAAAGCCUCAAGGGAGGGAGGGGGUAGAGUUCUCGGGGAGCAAGAAAGGAGACGUAUCUGUCCUUCCACUAUUUACCCUUUCAUGCUGUUUUUACCAUGUACUUGUAUUGUCUUUUAAAGAAAACCCAAAACCACUACAAUCUCAAAAGGUAGAAACAAGCAGCCUAUCAAGGGCGAGGCAGAGAGAGAGAGGCAGAGAGAGGGAGCCAGGAGGAGCUCAGGAUGUCUGGAAGGUAGGGGCAGCCUGAAUCCUCCCGGGGUGGCGAGAGACUGAUCGGGGAGGAGGGAAGACAGGGGAGCUGUGUGUGGAGAAGGGGCGCCUCUGAGUGCACAGGCUGCCCACUCCCCACCCUCCGUGCAGGAGCGGGGAGGAGGUCCGGAACGCACGCCGCAGGAGUGGCCAGGGCCGGAGAAGGGCCCUUACAGUAGACGGUGAGGGUGGUGGGCAGCGACUGGCCCCGGCCCAGCCUGUUGGUCCCCUGGCACCAAUAGGCGCCUGAGUGCUGCAGCGUCACAGGGUCCAAUCUCAGCGUCUGAUCGUAAUGGCGGAGGUCUUGGUUAUUCCAGUCAAACCAUGCGUAGUGGGAGGUGGGAGGGUUGGCGUCGCUCUCGCACGUCAGGACUGCUUUCUUCCCCUCCACCACUCCGUCUUUCGGGCUGAUGGACACAUGCAGGCUCCUGGGUGCAUCUGUAAGUAGAAGCAAAGUCAGGAUCCGGGUAGCCAGUCACCUGCCCGUCUCUGCUCCCAGCCUCCGGCUCCAGCCACUCACACAGCACUUGGAGAGCCCAGGCCUUAGACGAGGUCUGUCCUAUGGAAUUGUUGACCAAGCAGUGAAGAAGCGGACAUCCGUGGGGCGGCUGCUUAAGAAGUCACAUUGGAGGAGGACCGGGCGCCCAGAGCGAAUCUCACUGUGGGGAGUGACCUGGACACUGACAUCUUUGGGGGCAUCUGGAGAG